rnacentral:rRNA from 1 species
GAGUUUGAUCAUGGCUCAGGACGAACGCUGGCGGCGUGCCUAAUACAUGCAAGUCGAACGGUCUUUUCUAUGGAAGCUUGCUUCCACUGGGAAGAUAGUGGCGGACGGGUGAGUAACACGUGGGUAACCUGCCCAUAAGAGGGGGAUAACAUCCGGAAACGGGUGCUAAUACCGCAUAGUUUUCUUGAUCGCAUGAUUGAGAAAGGAAAGACGGCCUUUGUGCUGUCGCUUAUGGAUGGACCCGCGGCGUAUUAGUUAGUUGGUGAGGUAACGGCUCACCAAGACGAUGAUACGUAGCCGACCUGAGAGGGUGAUCGGCCACAUUGGGACUGAGACACGGCCCAAACUCCUACGGGAGGCAGCAGUAGGGAAUCUUCCGCAAUGGACGAAAGUCUGACGGAGCAACGCCGCGUGAGUGAAGAAGGUUUUCGGAUCGUAAAACUCUGUUGUCAGAGAAGAACAAGUCGGAGAGUAACUGCUCCGGCCUUGACGGUAUCUGACCAGAAAGCCACGGCUAACUACGUGCCAGCAGCCGCGGUAAUACGUAGGUGGCAAGCGUUGUCCGGAUUUAUUGGGCGUAAAGCGAGCGCAGGCGGUUCCUUAAGUCUGAUGUGAAAGCCCACGGCUCAACCGUGGAAGGUCAUUGGAAACUGGGGAACUUGAGUGCAGAAGAGGAGAGUGGAAUUCCAUGUGUAGCGGUGAAAUGCGUAGAUAUAUGGAGGAACACCAGUGGCGAAGGCGACUCUCUGGUCUGUAACUGACGCUGAGGCUCGAAAGCGUGGGGAGCAAACAGGAUUAGAUACCCUGGUAGUCCACGCCGUAAACGAUGAGUGCUAAGUGUUGGAGGGUUUCCACCCUUCAGUGCUGCAGCUAACGCAUUAAGCACUCCGCCUGGGGAGUACGGCCG